rnacentral:lncRNA from 1 species
UCUCUCCUAUCUUCUUUACCCCUCCCUCUCUCUCUCGCCACUUUCUCGCAGCCCUCUGCCAUCGAUUGCCGACACCAGCGACGACCUUCGCCAUCCCCAUCUCCGCCCUUCUCCGUCGCACCAAGAGCCCACACCAACGACACCUCCGCCCUUCGCCGACCCCCCAUCCGCCCUUCGCCGAUGCGCUAGGAGCCCACACCAACGCCACCUCAUCCCUUCGCCAACGCCAUCUCCGCCGUUGCACCUCCAUCGACGCCCACACCGAAUUAUUGAAACUUGAAGCCUGCUAAUCAAUUGGUAUGGUCUUACUACCCCUUUUUUUUUCUUAUUUUGUUUUUCAAAUACUUAAAUUUGGGGUUUUCAUUUUUUUUCUUUUUCUAAAAUGAAUCUAUUGUGGCUUACUGUUGCAAAGACCAACUAUUUUAAUUUAUGGUUAUCUACUGUUGUUCUUAAUUUAAUAUUUUUUGUUUGUUUUUUUUGUCUUAUUUUUUAGAAUGUGUUUUACUGAUAUUUGAUCAAUGGAUAUGGUUUGUUAGUUGGAUUAAAAUCUUAUUUGACAAACUUGUAAAUUUUUUCCCUUUUCCCAUGCUAGUAGUUCGAUUGGAAUUUCUGACCGUUCACCGCGUUCACCGCCUUUCGUUGCUCGCCAAUGUACAUUACCAGUUCUCCGAGUUUUGUUGUUCGUUGUCGCAAACCACCCUUUCACCGUUGAGUCUGCUCUUUACCUUGCUGGUAAGGUUAAAAUUCUUUCUCAAUUAAUUCUAUAGUUACAGAAUGUAGUUGUGCUAAUAAAAAAAUCAUUUAAUUGAAAUUGUAUGUAUUUUAGAAUGUUCCUGAGCCUACGCCUGGCCAUGUACUUCUCUUUUUCUUGACUUGUUUGCUUUCUGAAAUUGGUGAUUUUCUGUAUUAUUCUUCAUUCUUAUUGUUCACUAGAUGAUCACCUUCUUAUUGUUCACUGGAUGAUCACCACAACUAAUGCUGGAAGGGUUCCAAAAUAAAUCAACUAUUGGUGUCUUUUAUCUCUUAAUGAUUUUGAUGAUUUAGAUAGUAAUUUUUAUAGAUAGUGUAUGCAGCAAUCUUCAUGAUUUUUUUAUUAUUGUGGAAUUGCAGUUCUCCGACAAUUAAAUGUGUAUACAUUUAUGCAUAUAUGCUAUAGCUAUGUAUAUAUACAUGAGAUAUAUGCAUGUCUAACUGUUUAGGUUUCAUUAUGGGUAAUGAUGUUACUACUUAUAAGUUUCUUGAAAAAAAUUUCUUAUGUUUCCCAUUGAUCAGACAACUUGAAAGAAGAUCCAUAAGUUCAUUAUUAUUAUUAUUUUGCAAUUAAAUGUAUGUAGAUUGAUUAUAUCGGCCUUUUUAUGCUCAUUAUAUAAGUUUUCUUCUUUGGACAGACGAUGUUGAAGCUUUUCUCGGUCGAAACUGCCACGCAGAAAGAAAGGGAAAUUGAGAUAUACUGAGUGGUGUCGUGAUGAAACACAAAAGAAGGCAAGAGUUACUGAAUAUAAAAUGCAUGAAGUUUUAUUUUU